GAUGAACGCUGGCGGCGUGCCUAACACAUGCAAGUCGAACGAUGAAACCGCCCCCGGGCGGACAUGAAGUGGCGAACGGGUGAGUAACACGUGACCGACCUGCCCCCCGCCCAGGGACAGCCCCCCGAGAGGGGGAUUAAUACCUGGUACUCCGGAAGCGGCGCAUGCCGCCCCCGGGAAAGCUUUUCGCGGCGGGGGAUGGGGUCGCGGCCCAUCAGGUAGACGGCGGGGCAGAGGCCCACCGUGCCGACGCCGGGUAGCAGGGUUGAGAGACCGCACGGGCACAUUGGGACUGAGAUACGGCCCAGACUCCUACGGGGGGCAGCAGUGGGGAAUUUUGCGCAAUGGGGGCAACCCUGACGCAGCAACGCCGCGUGCGGGACGAAGGCGUCCGCGGCGUAAACCGCUUUCAGCGGGGAACACUUUUCGAGGGUACCCGCAGAAGAAGCCCCGGCUAAAUACGUGCCAGCCGCCGCCGUAA
rnacentral:rRNA from 1 species